ACGAACGCUGGCGGCAUGCCUAACACAUGCAAGUCGAACGAUUGCCUUCGGGUGAUAGUGGCGCACGGGUGCGUAACGCGUGGGAAUCUGCCCUUAGGUUCGGAAUAACAGCUGGAAACGGCUGCUAAUACCGGAUGAUAUCGCGAGAUCAAAGAUUUAUCGCCUGAGGAUGAGCCCGCGUUGGAUUAGGUAGUUGGUGGGGUAAAGGCCUACCAAGCCGACGAUCCAUAGCUGGUCUGAGAGGAUGAUCAGCCACACUGGGACUGAGACACGGCCCAGACUCCUACGGGAGGCAGCAGUGGGGAAUAUUGGACAAUGGGCGCAAGCCUGAUCCAGCAAUGCCGCGUGAGUGAUGAAGGCCCUAGGGUUGUAAAGCCCUUUUACCCGGGAAGAUAAUGACUGUACCGGGAGAAUAAGCCCCGGCUAACUCCGUG
rnacentral:rRNA from 1 species